UUUAGCUUCGAAAGGGAAAGGUUCCAAUUGGGGAUUUUAUUACUGUUAGAGGGUAGGAUGUUCAACCGUGCAUUCAAUUUUUUUUCUCUGACUCUGUAUUGCUUUACUAUUGCGUGAAUUAUAUUUUUAUCCAGUUUUGCUCCUCUUGAUGAUUGGAAGUUAGCAUUGCUCCUGUUAGAGCAACAGUAUACCAAAGCAAGAUCCAACCGAGCUAAGGAUGCUCUCUCUUGCUUUCCCAACAACUUCAGAAGAGAUUUCUGGAUCAGGUAUCAGGUCCAGAGCCUAUGGAGAGAAGCAACAUCAUGAUGCUGCUAUAUCUUAGUGGUCUUUCUUUCACAAUGGUGAUCUGCUUCUUAUCUGUUCUAGGUGUCACUGUCAUAGCUUGCUUGGCAUAACCUUCCUUCUUUUGAUGGUUGUCAACACACAUUUAAGUCACACAUACACCAUACAAGAUGUAGAGCCUUUGGUAUAUGCAGCCGCACUCCCUUGCCGCCACCUGCUACUUCAAGUCCGCCGACGGCCACGUUGGAAACUAGGGCUUCUCCAUAGCCCGCCUCAAUCUCCACCUCGCCCUCCUUUCUGGUAUACAUGC